AUACUCUGGUUUCUCUUCAGAUUGAAUAAGUUUUUCUUUCUAAAGAUUUCCAUGGAGAGGAACAAUCAUGAGUUAUCAUGAUUUUUUUGAGGCUCUGUCACAUGCAGAGCG